rnacentral:rRNA from 1 species
GGCAGCAGUGGGGAAUCUUGCGCAAUGCGCGAAAGCGUGACGCGGCAACGCCGCGUGGGGGAAGACGGCCUUCGGGUUGUAAACCCCUUUCAGGAGGGACGAAGUCCGGGCGGUUAAUAGCCGACUCGGAUGACGGUACCUCCAGAAGAAGCCCCGGCUAACUACGUGCCAGCAGCCGCGGUAAUACGUAGGGGGCAAGCGUUGUCCGGAAUCAUUGGGCGUAAAGAGCGUGUAGGCGGUCCGGUAAGUCGGCUGUGAAAGUCCAGGGCUCAACCCUGGGAUGCCGGUCGAUACUGCCGGACUAGAGUUCGGAAGAGGCGAGUGGAAUUCCCGGUGUAGCGGUGAAAUGCGCAGAUAUCGGGAGGAACACCUAUGGCGAAGGCAGCUCGCUGGGACGUUACUGACGCUGAGACGCGAAAGCGUGGGGAGCAAACAGGGUUAGAUACCCUGGUAGUCCACGCCGUAAACGAUGGGCACUAGGUGCGGGAGGUGUCGACUCCUCCCGUGCCGGAGCUAACGCAUUAAGUGCCCCGCCUGGGGAGUACGGCCGCAAGGCUAAAACUCAAAGGAAUUGACGGA